GGUCUCCGUACCCUGCGCCGCCCUGAGGGGUGUGCUGUCCGACUGGCCAUGGACGAUACCCUGUUCCAGUUGAAGGCCCUUCAGCAGAAAAAUGUGGAGUGUGCCCGUGUGUAUGCUGAAAACGCCAUCCGCAAGAAGAAUGAAGGCGUAAACUGGCUCCGGAUGGCAUCCCGUGUGGACGCAGUGGCCUCCAAGGUGCAGACAGCUGUGACCAUGAAGGGGGUGACCAAGAACAUGGCUCAGGUGACCAAAGCUCUGGACAAGGCCCUGAGUGCCAUGGACCUUCAGAAGGUGUCUGCAGUGAUGGACAGGUUUGAGCAGCAGGUGCAGAACCUGGAUGUGCACACAUCGGUGAUGGAGGAUUCUGUGAGCUCUGCCACUACACUGACCACACCUCAGGAGCAGGUCGACAGCCUCAUCGUUCAGAUUGCUGAGGAGAAUGGCCUGGAGGUCCUUGACCAACUCAGCCAGCUUCCGGAGGGAGCCUCUGCCGUGGGCGAAAGCUCUGUGCGCAGCCAAGAGGACCAACUGUCUCGGAGGUUGGCUGCCCUGAGGAAUUAGCACGUUGUUGGCAGGUGCUGCCUCCAUCGCCCUGAGAUGUCCUGGAGGCUUCCGCCCGGCUGCACUCCACUUCCUCCAACCCUUCAUAGCUGCCUUGCCUUUCCCAACCUGUCAGGCUGGCGCCUUAGGACAUCAGGCAGCGAGUCUCUGUCCUGGCAUUGAAUUUGCACAAGUGUGUGGUGACUUAUGUGAGUGUAGGCCACAGCUGGAGGAUGGCAAGCUCUCUUUUGUCCUUUGCCUAUGUGGAGUUGACAGGGUUUGACCUGCAGAUGUGUGUGGACUUCAGCCCAGUGCUUUGGGGCCUUCGGAUUCCAGCGACC
rnacentral:lncRNA from 1 species